UUUAUUGGAGAGUUUGAUCUUGGCUCAGGACGAACGCUGGCGGCGUGCCUAAUACAUGCAAGUCGAGCGCA
rnacentral:rRNA from 1 species